UUUUGGAGCUACUUCUUAUGCUCAGAUCGAGCAUAAGUAUUUGAGCAAAAACCCGGACGCUUUGACUAUGCCCCCGACUCUUCUGGCUAAAAGAGCUUAUACACCACCCCAGGGCUAUGAAAAUGUAGAGGGAAAUGACAAAAAGGUGGAGAAAAUUAAUGAAUUGAACGCGGCGCUGGAAGCUUC